CAUGAAGUUGGAAUCACUAGUAAUCGCGGAUCAGCAUGCCGCGGUGAAUGCGUUCUCGGGCCUUGUACACACCGCCCGUCACACCAUGAGAGUCGGGAACACCCGAAGUCCGUAGCCUAACCGCAAGGGGGCGCGGCCGAAGGUGGGCUCGAUAAUUGGGUGAAGUCGUAACAAGGUACC
rnacentral:rRNA from 1 species